rnacentral:rRNA from 1 species
UGGAAAGUCGCACGGUACAGGGUGAUAGUCCCGUACACCAAAAUGCACAGGCUGUGAACUCGAUGAGUAGGGCGGGACACGUGACAUCCUGUCUGAAUAUGGGGGGACCAUCCUCCAAGGCUAAAUACUCCUGACUGACCGAUAGUGAACCAGUACCGUGAGGGAAAGGCGAAAAGAACCCCGGCGAGGGGAGUGAAAUAGAACCUGAAACCGUGUACGUACAAGCAGUGGGAGCACCUUCGUGGUGUGACUGCGUACCUUUUGUAUAAUGGGUCAGCGACUUAUAUUUUGUAGCAAGGUUAACCGAAUAGGGGAGCCGUAGGGAAACCGAGUCUUAACUGGGCGUCUAGUUGCAAGGUAUAGACCCGAAACCCGGUGAUCUAGCCAUGGGCAGGUUGAAGGUUGGGUAACACUAACUGGAGGACCGAACCGACUAAUGUUGAAAAAUUAGCGGAUGACUUGUGGCUGGGGGUGAAAGGCCAAUCAAACCGGGAGAUAGCUGGUUCUCCCCGAAAGCUAUUUAGGUAGCGCCUCGUGAACUCAUCUUCGGGGGUAGAGCACUGUUUCGGCUAGGGGGCCAUCCCGGCUUACCAAACCGAUGCAAACUCCGAAUACCGAAGAAUGUUAUCACGGGAGACACACGGCGGGUGCUAACGUCCGUCGUGAAGAGGGAAACAACCCAGACCGCCAGCUAAGGUCCCAAAGUCAUGGUUAAGUGGGAAACGAUGUGGGAAGGCACAGACAGCCAGGAUGUUGGCUUAGAAGCAGCCAUCAUUUAAAGAAAGCGUAAUAGCUCACUGGUCGAGUCGGCCUGCGCGGAAGAUGUAACGGGGCUAAACCAUGCACCGAAGCUGCGGCAGCGACACUUAGCUGUUGUAGGGUAGGGGAGCGUUCUGUAAGCCGUUGAAGGUGACCUGUGAGGGUUGCUGGAGGUAUCAGAAGUGCGAAUGCUGACAUAAGUAACGAUAAUGCGGGUGAAAAACCCGCACGCCGGAAGACCAAGGGUUCCUGUCCAACGUUAAUCGGGGCAGGGUGAGUCGACCCCUAAGGCGAGGCUGAAAAGCGUAGUCGAUGGGAAACAGGUUAAUAUUCCUGUACUUGGUGUUACUGCGAAGGGGGGACGGAGAAGGCUAGGCUGGCCGGGCGACGGUUGUCCCGGUUUAAGCGUGUAGGGGGAGUGACCAGGUAAAUCCGGUUGCUUAUCAACCCUGAGGCGUGAUGACGAUGCACCACGGUGCAGAAGCAGUUGAUGCCAUGCUUCCAGGAAAAGCCUCUAAGCAUCAGGUAACAUUAAAUCGUACCCCAAACCGACACAGGUGGUCAGGUAGAGAAUACUCAGGCGCUUGAGAGAACUCGGGUGAAGGAACUAGGCAAAAUGGUGCCGUAACUUCGGGAGAAGGCACGCUGGCGUUAGGUGAAAGGACUAGCUCCUGGAGCUGAAGCCAGUCGCAGAUACCAGCUGGCUGCAACUGUUUAAUAAAAACACAGCACUGUGCAAACACGAAAGUGGACGUAUAC